CGGGGGGAGCAAGCGUUGUUCGGAUUUACUGGGCGUAAAGGGCGCGUAGGCGGCCACCGCAAGUCGACUGUGAAAUCUCCGGGCUUAACCCGGAACGGUCAGCCGAUACUGCGGGGCUAGAGUGCAGAAGGGGCAACUGGAAUUCUCGGUGUAGCGGUGAAAUGCGUAGAUAUCGAGAGGAACACCUGCGGCGAAGGCGGGUUGCUGGGCUGACACUGACGCUGAUGCGCGAAAGCUAGGGGAGCGAACGGGAUUAGAUACCCCGGUAGUCCUAGCCUUAAACGAUGAAUGCUUGGUGUCUGGGGUUUUAUAGUCCCCGGGUGCCGUCGCUAACGCUUUAAGCAUUCCGCCUGGGGAGUACGGUCGCAAGACUG
rnacentral:rRNA from 1 species